rnacentral:rRNA from 1 species
UACGUAGGUGACCAGCGUUGUCCGGAUUUACUGGGCGUAAAGAGCGCGCAGGCGGUCGUUCAAGUCGAGUGUGAAAGCCCCCGGCUCAACUAGGGAGGGUCAUUCGAUACUGAUCGACUCGAAGGCAGGAGAGGGAAGCGGAAUUCCCGGUGUAGUGGUGAAAUGCGUAGAUAUCGGGAGGAACACCAGUGGCGAAGGCGGCUUCCUGGCCUGUUCUUGACGCUGAGGCGCGAAAGCUAGGGGAGCAAACGGG